UUAUCAUUGUCUACAAAGUCUAGAGAAUUUUUCAGAGUGACUUUAAAAUCAGUGCUAUUAAUUUUCUUAAAAAUUUGUUUUUAAAAGAUAGGGCUGAUCAUUAAGUAGCAAUUAGCAUGACAGAAUGAUCUAGUUAUGAAGACUCUGUGACUUUUAAGAUUUUUUUUCUGAAUAAAAUGUAGCAUGUGUAGUUUUUUUAAAAGCCUAUAAAGUAUAGAAGAAAUGAAAGUAGCUUUAAUGUUAUUGCUAGUAACCCUGUAGCAUGUUCACACACAUACUCAGUUUUAUACAGUUCAAACUAUAUUAUCUAUUAUUUGUGCCCAGUGACAAAAUCAUAAGGAUCGUCCCCCACACAAAUCUCUUUGUAAAUCUAAUCUUCAACAUGAGAUUGUGGAUAUGCUUUCAAAUAGUUAACACUUUCUCAACAUUGGAGUUUGAUUUUUUUGUUAUAACGCAGUGUGACUAACCUUAUGUAACAUUUCCC
rnacentral:lncRNA from 1 species